CCUACGGGAGGCAGCAGUAAGGAAUAUUGGUCAAUGGGCGGGAGCCUGAACCAGCCAUGCCGCGUGCAGGAGGACGGCCUACGGGUUGUAAACUGCUUUUGUACGGGAAUAUGUACCGUAAGAAUAAGGAUCGGCUAACUCCGUGCCAGCAGCCGCGGUAAUACGGAGGAUCCGAGCGUUAUCCGGAUUUAUUGGGUUUAAAGGGUGCGUAGGCGGCGUGCUAAGUCAGGGGUGAAAGACGGUGGCUCAACCAUCGCAGUGCCUUUGAUACUGGCGCGCUUGAAUGCGGAUGAGGUAGGCGGAAUGUGGCAAGUAGCGGUGAAAUGCAUAGAUAUGCCACAGAACACCGAUUGCGAAGGCAGCUUACCAAGGCGCAUUGACGCUGAUGCACGAAAGCGUGGGGAUCGAACAGGAUUAGAUACCCUUGUAGUC
rnacentral:rRNA from 1 species